UGUAGAUCGAAAUUUUUAUUAGUAAUCUAUCUAUCCAUCUUACUGAUUGCUAAUGCAGCUAAAAGUUACUAUGAUAUACUUCAAGUUCCGAAAGGUGCAUUAGACGAUCAGAUUAAACGAUCAUAUAGAAAGCUUGCGUUGAAAUAUCAUCCUGAUAAGAAUCAAGGAAAUGAAGAUGCUAACAUAAAGUUUGCUGAAAUUAACAAUGCUUAAGAAGUGUUGUCGAACAGCGAAAAGCGGAGUAUUUACGACCGGUACGGUGAGGAAAAGCUUAAACAGCAUGCUGCUGGUGGCGGAGGGGGCGGAGGGAUGAAUAUUCAGGACAUUUUUAAGUCGUAAGAUUUCACUUUCAGACCUUAAUAAUAUAAGUUUAG